rnacentral:lncRNA from 1 species
UCUGACCAUAAGCUUGCCUAUCUUCUAAUAUCUUCCCCUUUAGUCAAAGUCCUAGGUGCAUCUCAUUAGGUCUUUCAUUGGUUGUAAUGUGGCUUAAGGCAUAAGGUGAGGAUUUUUGGUACGAGGCUAAGGUCAUACUGAACUUCAUUCUGGGCAACUUACUUCCCAAAUUCUUUUGAUCCUUGCCUAUUCUUACGGGCCUAAGCACAUUCUUCCCUUUAUUCUUCCUCUCCUUUUUUUUCUUUUUCUCUUUCUUUUUCUUUUCAUUUCUUUUUCUCUUUCUGGACUUUUCUUUGUUUUGGGAUUUAGAUUUCCCAUUUUUCAUUUUCUUUGCACUAGUCCUGCCCAUAGGAUCCACUACACUAUCUUCCCUUCUUUUGCCCUUAAGUUCAGUUUGACCGGGACGGCUCAAAUCUAGGCAAAUUUAUAAGUGAAUUCAAAUGAAUUAUUAAGCUCAAAAGGGUUCACAAGUGAUAGAUGUAGGGUUGGUCAGUUUGGCU